rnacentral:lncRNA from 1 species
CUUGGCGCGGGCCCGGGGCUGGCCAGCAGCCUGCUCCGCGCGGAUCCGGGGAAUGCGUGAGAGGAGAGCAGCUCUGAGCCCUGCUUCCAAGGGGCGCGCCCGGUUAUUCCCCUCGCUCCCUCAGUCCGACCCCGGGCGCUCCCCCGCGGAGAUUGGUGUGUGAGCAGAACAGCUUGAGAAUGUGUUCUAGGACCUGGUUACCUUUCCUUCAUCAUCUCUCAACCCAUGUGUAUAUUGGGAAAAUCAGAGACCGGUCAAGUCAUGCCUCCAAGAAGGGCUUGACCAGGGUGGGCUUUGUGGUCCCACCAAGAAGCUUGGACUUCAUCCUGUUGGGGGAUGGACCAAAGGAGGGGUGUGAGCAGAGAGGCAUCCACAAGGAUGGCUCAUCCUCCACCCACUUCAAUCACCAGUGUUGUACAGCCAUUGGGGAUUACACGUGCAGCUUUGUAGCUUGUGAGAGGUUUGACGCAUGCACCUCUGAGAUAUGCUUCAGUGAUAGCAGUCUUAGCUCCUCCAUUGCACACAUGAGGAGGGUAAGUGGCCAGCCUAUAAGGCAGAGAGGACACUUGCCCUAAGAGAGGCACAGGUAGAAAGACAGAAACAAACGUGUAUCAAGCUCCCUGCUCUGUGCUAGGCCCUGGCUUGUGUGAGCUUGCCCAGUCCUCACAGCCACCACACAAGGGGUGAUCACCCCCACCGCUUUGCACAUGGGGUGCAGGGAAGUAAAGUGACUUGUCCUGGAUCACACAAGGAGUAAGUAGUAAAGCUGAGAUUCACACCAAGUCUUCCAGAGCCUCAAACCUGUACGCUUUUCCUGCCUCCCAAGGCUGGGAGAGGGAGCACCUGUAACAGCAGAACUACUGGACGAAAGCAAAUUCCCAUCCAUCGCCUCCACAGCCCUGGGAGAGACGAGGUUUUGCCAUGUUAGCCAAGAUGGUCUCAAGCUCCUGACCUCGUGAUCCGCCCAUCUCAACCUCCCAAAGCGCUGGGAUUACAGGCGUGAGCCACCGCGCCCAGCUGAAAUCAUUUCUUCAAAUACAACCUUGAGAGCCCAAGAAGUGACAGGGAUGACAGGCUGCUGGGGUGGUCCCACAGUUCCUCAGGGUUUGUCUCUCACUUGCCCAGCCCACACACCCUAUCUCCAGGGCUCUGUGGAACACAGUUUGAAACUCCUGCUGCACAGAAUAGCAAGUGCAGGGCCAGGGGAUGCACUGAAGACGGGCAUUCAGGUGGAUGCCCCCUGCACACUGUGGAAAGGCACCCUGGUGGGCUGGCACCUGGUCAGACCCAUCUUCCUGAGCAAGGGCACUGGACAUUUUUUUUUAAGUAAGUGACCUGAACAAGGAUGCUGACAUGAGGCAUACAGGAAACACAAAGAAAGGCGGAAAAGCAAAUAUUUUGAUCCUGCUCCUGCCACUCUCUCCAGCCGCCUCCACUCCUCUCCCACCGCCAUGCUCUAAUGUGGGUCCAGCUCCCUAGGCCCAUCAGGCAGGGACAAAGCUGAUUCUGAGCAGAUCUGGCACAAGGAAGUCACCAGAAAACACUAUUGGGUUCCUCAAGGGUAAAGACUGGAUCUUAUCCAUCUUGUUGCCCAUUCCUGCCUCUGCAAUCAUGUGCACUCUGGGAACUUGGAAAAUACAUUGUGGCAUCCAGUAUUAAAUCUCAUGGUACCUAGA